rnacentral:rRNA from 1 species
GCAGCGAUGCCGCGUGAGUGAAGAAGGCCUUUGGGUUGUAAAGCUCUUUCGUCGGGGAAGAAAAUGACUGUACCCGAAUAAGAAGGUCCGGCUAACUUCGUGCCAGCAGCCGCGGUAAUACGAAGGGACCUAGCGUAGUUCGGAAUUACUGGGCUUAAAGAGUUCGUAGGUGGUUAAAAAAGUUGGUUGUGAAAUCCCGGAGCUUAACUCCGGAACUGCAAUCAAAACUUUUUAGCUAGAGUAUGAUAGAGGAAAGCAGAAUUUCUAGUGUAGAGGUGAAAUUCGUAGAUAUUAGAAAGAAUACCAAUUGCGAAGGCAGCUUUCUGGAUCAUUACUGACACUGAGGAACGAAAGCAUGGGUAGCGAAGAGGAUUAGAUACCCUCGUAGUCCAUGCCGUAAACGAUGUGUGUUAGACGUUGGAAAUUUAUUUUCAGUGUCGCAGCGAAAGCAGUAAACACACCGCCUGGGGAGUACGACCGCAAGGUUAAAACUCAAAUGAAUUGACGGGGACCCGCACAAGUAGUGGAGCAUGUGGUUUAAUUCGAAGAUACGCGCAGAACCUUACCAACACUUGACAUGUUCGUCGCGACUCUAAGAGAUUAGAGUUUUCGGUUCGGCCGGACGAAACACAGGUGCUGCAUGGCUGUCGUCAGCUCGUGUCGUGAGAUGUUGGGUUAAGUCCCGCAACGAGCGCAACCCUCACUUUUAGUUGCUACCAUUUAGUUGGGCACUCUGAAAGAACUGCCAGUGAUAAGCUGGAG